rnacentral:lncRNA from 1 species
CACUCAACCUGAGCCGUAAAACCCUCGCAAGGUGGAAAAUGUCUCUCUCACAGAUGAGAAUGUGAAAAGACACUUCAUGAUUGUUUGUAUUCUCACGAUUUAGGUGUCCCGCGAUUAGUCAGGUCAAUUCCAAACUUUGGAUGGCUGUCCCCCACCACACUCGCAGAAGUCCCAGGGCCAGGCCCCAUGUUCAGAGUCAAGCUCCAUUCAGACUCAGGGAGACUCAACCCUUCCUCUGUCCCCUACCUUGGACAUGGGACUUCGUUCCAGACUGUGUGUGUGGGGGGGGGGGGUGUUGGGAACGCCUAGGGAGAGCUGGCUCAAGGGACAUCCUUUGCCUCCUGCCUUGUCCAGACACAGGACAGUGCUCUGCAAAGCUCUCCCUAGAUGCCACCAGGCUUGACCCCAAAUGGGCACAAUGGCAUUUGGGGCAAAACUUGUGACCUGGGUUUUCAUCUUUCCUUCUGCCUACGGUCAAUUUCUUGUGAGGUUAGAAAGUCAAGUCAGAAGUGGACCUCAGCCCCCAGCCGCACCUCCCUCAUCUCCCUGAAGCCCCUGUCCCCCCUCCCCCUCCUCCUCCCCCUGCCUCCCUCCCCUCACCUUGCUUCAAGGAGGAGAUUUCUCCCCCAUUGGAGGAAACCAGUGUUUCCACUGGAGAUGCAGCCUCUGCAGGCUUCUUGCUGAGCAAAAGCACCUUCUCUCACCUGCACCAUGAACCUGUCUCUCUUUGCAAGCACUUGCCCCUUUAAAUAUAAUACAAAUCUACUUAGGAUACAAAUCUCUUCCUUUGUAAUAAUUGUUUAAAUUCCCUGAGCUUGGAUCCCUUACAGUAGGUAUCACCCUGCUCACCAUUCCCUCCAUAGCUUCUUGGAAACCAGACUGUUUCAUGAAAAUCUGGCUUCUAUUCCCCCACUAAUAACAGGGUCCUCUGGUCCGUAAGAGCCUAGAAUUACUGCAUCCACAAAACUCUCUUUUUUCAUUUAUUUUAUUGAAGCAUAGUUGACUUGCAAUAUAGUGUCAGUUUCAGCUUUACAACAAAGCGAUUCAGUUUUAUAUAUAUAUAGGGAGUUCCCUGGUGGUGCAGUGGGUUAAGAUCCUGUGUUGUCACUGCUGUGUCAGGGGUUCUAUACCUGGCCCCAGAACUUCUGCAUGUUGCAGGUGUGACAAAAAAAAAUCCCAGUUAUACAUCUAUAUACUUUUUUUUUUUUUUGGCUUUUUAGGGCCACACCUGCAGCGUAUAGAAGUUUCCAGGCUAGGGGUCAAUUUAGAGCUGCAGUUGCUGACCUACACCACGGGCAUGGCAAUGCCAGAUUUGAGGCACGUCUGCAACCUACACCGCAGCUCAUGGAAUGUCAGAUCCUUAACCCACUGAGCGAGGCCAGGGAUUGAACCUGCAUCCUCACAGAUACAAGUCUGGUUUGUUACCACUGAGCCACAACAGGAACUCCUACAAUCUUUUCCAUAUUCUUUUCCAUUAUGGUUUAUCACAGGAGACUGAAUAUAGUUCCGGGAUCUGACAACUCUUUCCCUCUUCCUUUCAGCUGCCUUUUCUAUGGAGUUUGACACUUUACCCUUCCUUCUCCUUGGGCACCCUCUUCUUUGAGUCCCAUAGGCCUUAUCUCCUAUUUCUUCUUCUAUUUCUCUAGCUUCUUGUGCUCAGCUACUGUGUGUGCUUCUUCUUCCUCGCAGCUUCUUACACUCCACGUGCUCCCUCAUCUUCCACCUGCCUCCUCUGUGUCUGGCUUCCACAGUGAUUGACAGGAUGGCAUUUGCCGUCUGUAACUCUACCACCCCACACCAGUUCUACCCCAACUUUGCGGAUGCCUGAAAUCAUUUUCCUAGGGGACAUAGAUUCCUUUUGCCUUUGAAGCUUAAACUGUAGAUAAUCCUUGAAGAAGUAAAAUACCUGCAUAUUCUUUCCUAAGAGAUCAUUUUGUUGGGAGAGGAAGGAAAAGGAGAGAAGCAAGUCAAACUUUCUCUAUCCCUCACUUUUUCACUUAUCACAAGGGGACUAAUAACCAUUGUCCUUCCUACAUCAGCCGUAAUAGAUUUGAAAGUGCCCUGAGAAUGUUAAAACUGGGGUAACUUUAUGACUAGCUGGCAUGAGUACAAUCAGUUUUGUGGGGGGAAAGCUUUCUAGCACUCAUACUUCCCCUCUUUUCUGAGGCUUAACCUAACAACUUAAAUACCUCUCGAAAUUUUUCCCAGCAUCUCUCUCCGAAAACCUGGUGAGUCCUCCUUGCCUGACUCUGAAUUCACUAACAGACUGAGUCUCAGGAGAGAUGGAAAGGAGUGUAUGAAGGCCUAGCAGAGGCAGGAAAAUGGAAAUUCCGACCAUAGAUAAAGGCUCAAAAUGCAUUUUAUAUCCAUCGAGAACACCAGGGUAGAAAGCAUUAAUACCAAAAAAGACACUUGUUUUUUUUAAAUGUCAUCAACAAUUCUGUGUAGUGUGAAAUAUCCACUACAACUUGAGCCAUGUGCUUGCUGUGAACAAUUACACACCUUUUCAGAAUCUGGGAUGAGAAGGAAGGGGCAUGGGUCUAAACCAAGAGCCUGGCUCUCAUGCCGUCCCCUUCUUGUUUUAGAAUCAAAAAUGGCUAUUAAACACUGACUGAUAAAAUUCAACAAAUAGUUCUAGGUCGUUCUUUCUACCCUUGAAGUUAGUCCACGGAUUUGCUUUGGCCAAUGAAAUGUGAGUAAAGAGUGAAGAGGGGCACCUGGGGGCCGAAGAGGUAAACACCUUUAUGCAAUGUAUUGUAUUCUUCUGCUUGUAUUCUGUCAUUGCCAUUGGCAACAUUACAGAAGAGGUUUUCAUUAGCCUGGGUCCUGAGGUCAGGACAAUGCAGAGCAGCACACGCCCCGCCCCCAAUCCAUCUGUAAAGAGUAUGGAACAUGAACAAUACGGACCUGCUCUUUGCACAGUAUAUCUGGAGCUAUUCAGCAUAGUACACUUCCCUCAAAUCUGGCAUCUUAAAUUCUCCCUAAUUAGGUCUCCCACCAACUUUCGUCCCCUUGUCUCUCAACAUGCUGCAACAUGAGAUGGUCUAAUGCAGGAGAUGUAUCAUUUUCUAUGUGCUGUGUAACAAAUUACCACACAUUUAGCAGCUUGUGACCUCAAGUGGUGUUGGCAGUGGUCAAGGCUGUGGUCUUAUCUGCGGAUUGAGGUCCUCCUCCAAGCUCAUCCAAGUCGACAGAAUUCCACUUUUUGUAGCUGUAGGACUGAGACCCUCAGCUCCUAAAGGCCACUCUUUUCCCGGGGCCAGUUCACAAUGCAUGGUUUCUUCCAGAGCAGCAGGAAAGUCUGUCUCUUCCAAAGGCCCACCUAAUUAAGUCAGGGCCACCCAGAAGAAUCUUCCUCUAGUUUAACUCAAAGUCAGCUGAUUAGGGACCCUAAUUACAUCUGCAAAACUCCCUGGACCUUUGCCUGUAAUAUAAUGUGAUCACUGAAGUGAAAGUCCAUCAUAUCACGGUCCCAGCCACACUAAAAGGGACGGGGUUAUAUAAGGGAUGAGUCAUUAUAGGUCUUCUUGGACUCCUACCCCCACAGGAGGCCACUCUGCCUUCUCAUGUCCACACACAAGGUCUAGCUCCCCUUGUAGCUUUAUUUAUGCACAACAUCCUCUUAACAACAUACUCUUCUCUGCUCUCAAUCUUGGUGCAAAAUUUCUCCAUCCUUUAGCCUUUAGGGAGGGGAAGAAGGCCCUCCUCUCUAAAGCCUCCUUAAGACUGCCACCCACGUGCAGAGAAGGCUUACAACUCUCAGCUUCUCUCAGAGUCCUAAGCACUGCAUAGCAUACACAUAACAGGGGAUAAACUCUUAUGAUCUGAAUCAUCGCUAUAACACAUGUAGCAGGAUGAUCAAACAGAAGUUUAAAAUGCCCAACAACUCAGUACCUAGGAAAUGCCAACAAUGAUGUUCCAGCUGCAAAUUUUCAAAAGAACUAACGAAGAACAGGUUCCCUAAGUCAACAGACAUCUUUCCCACAAGGGGAAUGUGAAGGAAUGAAGAGAGUUGAAUUGUGGAAGGUUAUUUUGGUACGAGCUGUCCAAAUUUUAAAGAAGAAUCGUGUCCCAGAAAGGCCUUGACUUGAUGAUGUAAGGGUGCCCUAGCUCUAAGACGCUGUGGGGAGGAGGUGGAGCUACGGGGUAGGCAUCAAGAGGGCAGGUCAAGAAAGAAACAUCACUAAUGUCAAGAGAAGGGUGGAUGGGUGGUCCAGCAGGUGAUGUCCACACAACCCUGCAUUUUCCCCACAGGAGACAGAGUGGUCUUUAAUCAUCUUCUAGAUACUCCAGCCCAGAGAAAGCAGAGCCAGCUCACAAGAGCACUGGUUGUGAAGGAGCUCUUCUGUUUCUCUGACUUCUCUCUACAACCCUAGAGGGGCCUGAGAUGACAGCUAGAGAAGAGGUCAAGGGGCACAAGGAAGAAAGAAGGUGGGCAGGCUGGAGGUGGAGGUGAAAACUUACCUGAGCAUGAACAUCAAACAGUUGAUUUGGACUGGCCAUCCUGACUUCUUAUGCGAGGCUGUGCUCACAUAUUUUCUGGUCCUUAAUGUGCUCACACAUAUUUUUUCCUGAAGCCAGCCAUUGGACAUUUAUCAUCUGAAAGGAAGCAGAAAGUCCAGAGGACUCUGAAUUUGCAUCCAAUGGGAGGGGAAAAAAACUUUUCUCAUUGAGCAGAUUUUAAGGGAGAAGUCAGGACAAAAAUAAAAUUGCGUUUAGGAUUGCACUCCAGAAGUCCUGUUCGUUCUUGUAAUUGAUCCUAUCCAGCACACCUGCCUCUUCAUGUGGUCGUGAGCUCUGUUAGGGGGGCGGCUUGUGGAUUUUAAAGUUCAAAGUCAUGGAUUAUGAUCAGUUUUGUCAGCUUUAUGGAAAACCAAGAUGUGGUAUUUCUUGUCUUCUCUAAGAAGAAAGAAGCAGAGUAGAAUUCAGUUCCUAUACACACAAACACACAGACACACGCACACGCACACAUACACACACACACACCCCUCCUUGGGUCUUACUGAAAGCGGGCAGCCUGAUUUGUAGAACACCUAGUGUGGAACUAUUUUUUUUUUUUUAAUUUCUCAAGCAGGCAGUCUCAAAGGAAAGGCUGCACUUUGUCUUUCCUCAGCUCCUCAGCUGUGAUAAGAAGUGUAAAAAAGAAUUCCUGGGGAGGGAGAUUAAAAGGGAGUUCAAAGUGAGGACCCGAGAUUUAUGCAAAUGUGAUGUGAUUCGAAUUGUGAGAAAGCAAUCUAGUCAAGAGAGCUCAAUGCUUUUCAGAUGCUCGAGGACUGGAAAGGGACAGUGAGGGUCUCAAAUGCCAAACAUAAAGCAAGCCCACACCUACAACUGAUUUGAUUGAAGAUAUAAAUAAUAAGCCACUUCUGCACUUAGUAAGCAGAAAAUUUAACAGGAAAAGUCAAUAUGUGGUUCAAAAAUAUCACAAGGAAAGACACAGAGCUGAGUUUAUAUAUAAUUUUUCACAUAGCUAUCAACUCAUUUUAUGUGACCCCCCCAACCCAAAAAUCCCCUCAGUAAUAGGAAAAAAAAAAAUCAAUCAACUAGUGAAAUCAGAUAGUUUCUAAAAUGUCUAUUGGUGUCUCCAAUUAGGCAUCCAGUCAAGCCUUCUGUUCUACUUUUAUUUGUUUGGUGUUUUUUGCCAAUAAACCCCAACCAUUCCAGUUCAGUACAAUGAACAGAUGUUUAUAACAUCGUAGAAUAAGAAAUAAACCCAAGAGUUCCCAGUGUGGCUCAGUAGGUUAAGAACCCAACAUAGUUUCCAUGAGGAUGCAGGUUUGAUCACUGGCUUCACUCAGUGGGUUAAGGAUCCGGUGUUUCCAUGACAUAGUUGCAGACCCAGCUCAGAGCCUAUGUCGCUGUGGCUGUGGUGUAGGCUGACAGCUACAGCUCUGAAUCUACCCCUAGCCUGGGAACUUUCAUAUGCUGCAGGUGCGGCC